rnacentral:rRNA from 1 species
AGAAUCAACGCUGGCGGCGUGCCUAACACAUGCAAGUCGAACGAGAAAGGGUAGCAAUACCUGAGUAAAGUGGCGCACGGGUGAGUAACACGUGACUAACCUACCUUUUAGUGGGGGGAUAACCUAGGGAAACCUGGGCUAAUACCGCAUAAUACCUACGGGUCAAAGCAGCAAUGCGCUGAAUGAGGGGGUCGCGGUCGAUUAGUUAGUUGGCAGGGUAAUGGCCUACCAAGACUGUGAUCGAUAUCCGGCCUGAGAGGGCGCACGGACACACUGGAACUGAAACACGGUCCAGACUCCUACGGGAGGCAGCAGUGGGGAAUUUUGCGCAAUGGGGGAAACCCUGACGCAGCAACGCCGCGUGGAGGAUGAAGUCCCUUGGGACGUAAACUCCUUUCGAUCGGGACGAUAUGACGGUACCGGAAGAAGAAGCCCCGGCUAACUUCGCGCCAGCACGCCGC